AGUGAACGCUGGCGGCGUGCUUAACACAUGCAAGUCGAACGAGAACGGGUUAUAGCUUGCUAUAAUUGCCAGCUAAGUGGCGCACGGGUGAGUAAUGUAUAGGUAAUAUGGCUCUUACUAAGGGAUAACAAAUGGAAACGUUUGCUAAUCCCUAUACUACUUAUUAACAGCAGUUUAUAAGGGAAAGAUUUAUUGGUAAGAGAUUAGCCUGUAGUGUAUCAGUUAGUUGGUGGGGUAAUGGCCUACCAAGACUAUGACAUAUAACUGGUUUGAGAGGAUGAUCAGUCACACUGGGACUGGGACACGGUCCAGACUUCUACGGGAGGCAGCAGUGGGGAAUAUUGCACAAUGGACGAAAGUCUGAUGCAGCAACGCCGCGUGGAGGAAGAAACAUUUCGGUGCGUAAACUCCUUUUAUUUGGGAGGAUAAUGACGGUAUAAUAUGAAAAAGCACCGGCUAACUCCGUGCCAGCCGCCGCCGUAA
rnacentral:rRNA from 1 species